AAAGCCGACUGCCGUACAGGAUGUGGAGCUCCAGUUAGAGGAGGCAGUUAUUCUACAAAACGUGUGUGUGAUCAAUGAUGCAGCUGUCAGCUGGCCUGUCAGACACGCUAAUGUGUGUUGCGAGUUUGUGCGUGUGAACAUGGUGGCUCCUUUCCGUUUUUACAUUAGUGGUCUGAUGGUGACUUUAUCAGGUUGACUGAUAGCUAUAUAAGUGUCUUUAAAGACCUCUUUAAAAAUGAGGUCAGUAAGACUUUUAUUCAGCAAAGAUGGAUUAAAUUGAUAUUAGUGACCUUAAAGACAUUUAUAAUUUUGCUAAAUAUUUCUAUUUCAAAUAAAUGUUCUUUUGAACUUUCUAUUCAUUGAAAAAUUCUGACAAAAAGUAUCGCAAUUUCCACAAAAAAAAAAUUAAACAGAACAACUGUUUUCGUUUUCAGCAUUAACAAUAAUAAGAAAUGUUACUUGAGCACCAAAUCAGCAUAUUAUUAUUUCUGGUAGAUCAUGUGACGUUAAAGUGCCCCUAUUAUGGCUUUUUGAAAAUCACCUUUCAUGCAGUGUGUAACACAGCUCUAAGUGAAUGAAAACUUCCUGAGUGUAUAAAAUGAUUUUCUCUCAAAAGAAAGAGUGGACUCUGAAUCAUUGAAACGAGUCGUUUUUAGAACGAAUCCCAAGCCGUUUCAUGUUGACGUCAAGCAUAUUGCCCGCCCACUUGUUGCGCAUGCAGACCUGGGAAAACUUGAUUUUCGCAUUGGUCUGAAUGAAAAUGCAAAUUCAUUCUUUGCCUCUAGGUGACGCUUUUGGAGCAUCAAAAGCUCACAAACACUGCUUUAAUUGAAAUCAGCUAAUCACCGCAGAUUAGCGUCAUGCAAAGGAGGGGUUUGGAAAAAUGAAUCGUUGAGCGAAUCGUUUGGGAGUCGUUGAGCAAAUAAGUAAAUGUGUAAUUUUUUAUAAAUAAAAAUAAAUGCAUAUUAAAAGACAAUGAAAGUGUUUUUUGACCUUGCAUGCAUGUCGACCGAUAAUAGGGGCACUUUAAUGGCUGCUGAGAAUUCAGUAUUGCCAACACAGGAGAUAAUUCGAUUUUAAAAUGUAUUAAAAUAGAAAACGGUUAUUUUAAAUCAUAAUAUUAUUUCACAAUAUUACUGCUUUAACUAUAUUUAAAAAAUGCUAACACCAAUAUUUUGCACAUUAGUGUUGAGACUAUUGUGUCCUAGUUUACUUGUAAAAGUUGACACUUCGCUUUGAUGACACUAAUGUUUCACAACACAGAAUUUUGUCUAAUCAAAUACUCUCUAGAAUAAUAUGUCCCUACUCCUGUCUGUACUGUUGAUCUUCAACCAUAAAAUAAGCUCUGGUGCAGGUCUAAAGCUUAUUGGCUAGAAACUUCAAUAAAUCGCACCCCCUUCCUGUUUUAAUAGGCAGUGCAUCAAAACAUGAAAGCAUUUCUUAGAAUCUGUAACCAGAAAAGAAGAGACCUUUCAAUAUGUAGAGCUUUGCCAGAAGAAAGGACCACCCUGUGGUAACUCCAGAUAACAAGAUAGACAAAUACGAUUCCUUUGAAUUGUUUGCUCGGUUGAGCAAGCUGAUACUUUGAUUCGAGAAUUUCAGAGCUCUUGUUCUCUUUCUCUUUGUGUCCUCUGUCGUUUGACAGAUAAAGGAGGGUUUACCUGGUUUCUAUCCCCCUGUAGAGGAGAACUAAAGCGGCUCUGCUUAGUUUGAUAUCCACCUGUCUGGCUAGGAACAGAUUUACUAAAAAAAAAGAGUUGCUCUUCUUCCGCCCUCGUUUUGUUCCGCCCCACUGGUAUGUUCCGAUAAAGUGUUCUUAGCAAGGUUUUUGAAAAAUCUCUGUCAGCCUGAUGCCUUUGGUUUGUCUUUUCAAUAAAAAGUCUUAAUUCUUAAUAAGAGAUCAUUCUUUAUAUUAUUGCUGUUUUUUUGGAGCCGUAGCGUACAGGCUGUUCUUGCUUGGGGGACUUCAAACUUUAAGUCAGACAAGUAUAUGUGUUUUUGGGCCCAGAAAGUUCUGUAAGGACAGAUGGCAGAUUCCAAAUCACAUACUUCUCUGGAUUCUCCGCUGGCCGAGGAGCUGCCUUCGAGGUAGAAGGCAAUGCUAACAGAGUGCUGAACAGUUUUGGGAAGUAAAAGUAGUUACGCUUACGUAGGUUUUUCUGUAGUGGCUUUAAAAGUAGAGUAGCUCUUAUUAUUUCUUAUCCAGUACAAACAGUACAUGACUGUUCUUAAGAUCAGAAGGAAUAAUCAAACAAACUCACCUGAGCUUUUCUCUCUACACUACUGUUCAAAAUUUGUUUAAUGUUUUUAAAAGUCAGAAGCACUUUUACACUAUUUUUUUUUUUCUUUCUGUAAAUGUUUCUGAAAUGAAUUUUGUUAACUUUUAAAAGUAAACUUGGGCACAAAUGUUCAGAAGUUGAUAUUUUUGAGGUUACUGUUUUUGAAAAAAAAAAAGUGUACAGAAUACAAAAAUAUUAAGAUAAUUGUUUUCUAUUUUAAUUUUAAAUGUAAUUUAUUUCUGUGAUGUCAAAGCUAAUUUUAUAACAGCCAUUACUUCAGUGUCACGUGAUCUUUCAGAGAUCAUUAUAAUAUGCUGAUUUAGUGUUCAGCAAACAUUUAUUCUCAUCAAUGUUUUUUUUUUUUUUUUUUUGCAAAAAUGUGAUACUUUUUUAAUGAAUCAAAAUGAAUGAUCAGUCAAUCAAUCCCCAAACUUUUGCAUGGUAGACUGGGAAAGUCUGAUUUAUUCUAGUGAGUUUUCAAAUGGUUCUUUUUUCUCAAAUGUAGAGUUGUAAAGUAUGAUUCAUCAUUGGAGGGAUGAUGUAAAUGAAGAGAUACAAAAAAGAUGCAAGUCUAUGAACAGUGUGUUGAAUUAAUUUUGACUUUCUUAUGUAGUUUCUGUUGUAUUUAAUACAAAUAUAGCAUUUCAAGUUUGGCACCGUCAUCCUCAGAGUCAUUCAUUCAGAACCCCUCAUUGUUUUUGUGCCAGCAAAAAUGCAGCUUGAUUAAAUCUUACAUUGUGUCAUGUUAUAAUUUUUGUUUGUAGCGUGUAGUGUAGCUAAGUUCUUUUUCAAAAUGCAUUGUGACUAUUUUAACAGCUUCAAAUGACGAUUAUCUUGAAUCUACAGUUCCAUAGCUGCCCCAACAUUGGGCUUUCUCGCAAUUUUAUAACCUCCAUGGUUUAGGUCUGGUGGUCACGGCAGAGCGGGUGUGUGCUCUGAAGAGGAGGGUAAUCUCAGGUACGCAGACCACAGUCGGGAUCAAAGCCCUCACUCGGCAGAGCACUUGACAUUUACAUCUCCUUAUCUCCCUUUCUCUCACAUCCACACCACCCGCAAUCUCAAAAGUGUGCGUCGAGCGCACGCACAUCAAAGCUUGACAUUUUACAGCUCUAAUGCUCACACACUCCUAUCUUGAUGAAGGAAUGAUGCUAACCACAGCUGUUUUUGCAUCUGUUGGCUGUGUCUUUCUGAGAAUGAUUACUCUUACUUUUAGUGAUGUUUUUCCAUACUGAAACAACAAAACUAACAUUAACGUUUUCAUGUAGCUGAAAACCAAAACUGAAAAUAAUGUUUCAGUAAUUCAAUUUGGGUAAUUGAACUCAUUAUGUUGUUCAGCGUGCCAUGUUCUCAAGUGAUAAAUUAAACAGUCCUUCAUAGGGUUAUUAUAAUUAACUAAUAAAACUGGAAUUGCAACUAAAACUAUAAUAAUACAACAACAAAAACAACAACAACAACAAAAAAACCUUUAAAUUAUAUUUAAUAAUUUAUAAAUUUAUUAUGUUAACUGAUAAAAUAAAAUAAAAUAAUUAUUCAGGCUAGUUCUCAAUGCCUCGUUCCUCAUUCUAAUUUAGUUUAUCUUGAUGAACUGAAAGAACUAAAACUAAAAUAAAUAUUAAUACAUACAUAUAAAUUAUAUUUUAUUAUAUAUUAAACACAACAAAAUUACAAAAACUUUAAAAUAAAAAUAAAAACUAAUUCAAAAUAAUAAAACUCAUAGGGCCCUAUUUUAGCGAUCUAAGCGCAUGGUCUAAAGCGCACUGCGCAAGUGCACUCAGGGCGGUGUCCGAAUCCACUUUUGCUAGUUUAACGACUAAACUAGUCUAAACAGGUUGUCCCUAUUCUCUUAAUGAGUAAUGGGUGUUUUUGGGCAAUAAACCAAUCAGAGUCUCAUCUCCCAUUCCCUUUAAGAGCGAGUUGCGCUCGCGCCAUGGCGGAUUUGCUAUUUAAACGGCGGAAUUUUAAAGCGCACAGAUUGAACGCAUCUCCAGAGAGCAGACGGAUCUGCUCAUGCGCGAGCAAAUAGGUUAUUCCUCCAUCAUUGUUUUCCCUUUAUCUCCUGGCAUUCCGAGUGGCUUUGAGAACGAGUCUGACAAGCGGGCAUAUGGGCCAGUUCCCUCUCUCCUCGACCACCUUACGCACACACAUGUAG